rnacentral:rRNA from 1 species
GACGAACGCUGGCGGCGUGCUUAACACAUGCAAGUCGAACGGUAAGGCCCUUCGGGGUACUCGAGCGGCGAACGGGUGAGUAACACGUGAGUAAUCUGCCCUUGGCUUUGGGAUAGCCACCGGAAACGGUGAUUAAUACCGGAUACGACCACUUCUCCAAUGGGAUGGUGGUGGAAAGUUUUUUCGGCCAGGGAUGUGCUCGCGGCCUAUCAGCUUGAUGGUGAGGUAAUGGCUCACCAUGGCUUCGACGGGUAGCCGGCCUGAGAGGGUGACCGGUCACACUGGGACUGAGACACGGCCCAGACUCCUACGGGAGGCAGCAGUGGGGAAUAUUGGACAAUGGGCGGAAGCCUGAUCCAGCAACGCCGCGUGAGGGAUGACGGCCUUCGGGUUGUAAACCUCUUUCAGCAGGGACGAAGCGCAAGUGACGGUACCUGCAGAAGAAGCACCGGCCAACUACGUGCCAGCCGCCGCCGUAA